rnacentral:rRNA from 1 species
AUUGAACGCUGGCGGCAGGCCUAACACAUGCAAGUCGAACGGUAACAGGAAGCAGCUUGCUGCUUCGCUGACGAGUGGCGGACGGGUGAGUAAUGUCUGGGAAACUGCCUGAUGGAGGGGGAUAACUACUGGAAACGGUAGCUAAUACCGCAUAACGUCGCAAGACCAAAGGGGGGGACCUUAGGGCCUCUUGCCAUCGGAUGUGCCCAGAUGGGAUUAGCUAGUAGGUGGGGUAACGGCUCACCUAGGCGACGAUCCCUAGCUGGUCUGAGAGGAUGACCAGCCACACUGGAACUGAGACACGGUCCAGACUCCUACGGGAGGCAGCAGUGGGGAAUAUUGCACAAUGGGCGCAAGCCUGAUGCAGCCAUGCCGCGUGUAUGAAGAAGGCCUUCGGGUUGUAAAGUACUUUCAGCGGGGAGGAAGGGAGUAAAGUUAAUACCUUUGCUCAUUGACGUUACCCGCAGAAGAAGCGCCGGCUAACUCCGUG